UGGGGAAUCUUGGACAAUGGGCGCAAGCCUGAUCCAGCCAUGCCGCGUGAGUGACGAAGGUCUUCGGAUUGUAAAGCUCUUUUGCCAGGGACGAUAAUGACGGUACCUGGAGAAUAAGCCCCGGCUAACUUCGUGCCAGCAGCCGCGGUAAUACGAAGGGGGCUAGCGUUGUUCGGAAUUACUGGGCGUAAAGCGCACGUAGGCGGGUUUGUAAGUCAGGGGUGAAAUCCCGGGGCUCAACCUCGGAACUGCCUUUGAUACUGCAAAUCUCGAGUCCGGAAGAGGUGAGUGGAAUUCCUAGUGUAGAGGUGAAAUUCGUAGAUAUUAGGAAGAACACCAGUGGCGAAGGCGGCUCACUGGUCCGGUACUGACGCUGAGGUGCGAAAGCGUGGGGAGCAAACAGG
rnacentral:rRNA from 1 species